UCACAGUAGGAUAAGCUAACCGUACUGUUGGUUAUGUACGGCUAAGCAUUGAGGCAGUCUAAAUAGGCAAAUCCGUUUAGACAAUGCUAGGAUGUGAUGGGGAAGCCCUUCGGGGCGAAGUAGCUGAUUUCACACUGUCAAGAAAAGCUUCUAUCGAGUUUAAAGGCGCCCGUACCGUAAACCGACACAGGUGGGUGAGGAGAGUAUCCUAAGGCCAGCGAGAGAACUAUUGUUAAGGAACUCGGCAAAAUGACCCCGUAACUUAGGGAGAAGGGGUGCCUGUCUAUGACAGGCCGCAGAGAAUAGGCCCAAGCGACUGUUUACCAAAAACACAGGUUUCUGCUAAGUCGCAAGACGAUGUAUAGGAGCUGACGCCUGCCCGGUGCUGGAAGGUUAAGGGGAUCUGUUAGAGCAAUCGAAGCAGUGAACUUAAGCCCCAGUAAACGGCGGCCGUAACAAUAACGGUCCUAAGGUAGCGAAAUUCCUUGUCGGGUAAGUUCCGACCCGCACGAAAGGCGUAACGAUUUGGGCACUGUCUCAACAAUAGACUCGGUGAAAUUGUAAUCCCGGUGAAGAUGCCGGGUACCUGCGACAGGACGGAAAGACCCCAUGGAGCUUUACUGUAGCUUGACGUUGGGUCUUGGUACUACAUGUACAGGAUAGGUGGGAGACUAUGAAGCAUGGACGCCAGUCUGUGUGGAGUCAUCCUUGGGAUACCACCCUUGUAGUACUGGGAUCCUAACCAUAGGCCUUGAAUCAGGUCUUGGAACACCGUCAGGUGGGCAGUUUGACUGGGGCGGUCGCCUCCUAAAAAGUAACGGAGGCGCUCAAAGGUUUCCUCAGCACGGUCGGAAAUCGUGCGAAGAGUGUAAAGGCAAAAGGAAGCUUGAUUGCAAGACAUACAGGUCGAGCAAGGACGAAAGUCGGACUUAGUGAUCCGGUGGUACCGCAUGGAAGGGCCAUCGCUCAACGGAUAAAAGCUACCCUGGGGAUAACAGGCUUAUCUCCCCCAAGAGUCCACAUCGACGGGGAGGUUUGGCACCUCGAUGUCGGCUCAUCACAUCCUGGGGCUGUAGUAGGUCCCAAGGGUUGGGCUGUUCGCCCAUUAAAGUGGUACGCGAGCUGGGUUCAGAACGUCGUGAGACAGUUCGGUCCCUAUCCGUCGCAGGCGUAGGAAAUUUGAGAAGACCUGUCCUUAGUACGAGAGGACCGGGAUGGACGUACCUCUGGUGUACCAGUUGUUCUGCCAAGGGCAUGGCUGGGUAGCUAUGUACGGAAUGGAUAAGCGCUGAAAGCAUCUAAGCGCGAAGCCAACUUCAAGAUAAGAUUUCCCACCGUAAGGGUAAGACCCCAGGAAGACUACCUGGUUGAUAGGUCGAAGGUGUAAGUGCAGUAAUGUAUUUAGCUUAUCGAUACUAAUAGGUCGAGGACUUGAUC
rnacentral:rRNA from 1 species